AACCGCCGUAUACGGAACCGUACGUACGGUGGUGUGAGAGGACGGUAAUUAAACUAAUCAACUACUUCCUACUCGAU
rnacentral:ncRNA from 1 species